UACAGAGGUCCAUCAAGCGUUUGUUCGGAUUCAUUGGGCGUAAAGGGUGCGUAGGCGGCGCGGUAAGUCGGGUGUGAAAUCUUGGAGCUUAACUCCGAAACUGCAUUCGAUACUGCCGUGCUUGAGGACUGGAGAGGAGACUGGAAUUUACGGUGUAGCGGUGAAAUGCGUAGAUAUCGUAAGGAAGACCAGUGGCGAAGGCGGGUCUCUGGACAGUUCCUGACGCUGAGGCACGA
rnacentral:rRNA from 1 species